UACGUAGGGUGCGAGCGUUAAUCGGAAUUACUGGGCGUAAAGCGUGCGCAGGCGGUUCGUUAUGUCUGAUGUGAAAGCCCCGGGCUCAACUUGGGAACGGCAUUGGAAACUGGCGAGCUAGAGUGUGGCAGAGGGGGGUGGAAUUCCGCGUGUAGCAGUGAAAUGCGUAGAGAUGCGGAGGAACACCGAUGGCGAAGGCAGCCCCCUGGGCUGACACUGACGCUCAGGCACGAAAGCGUGGGGAGCAAACAGG
rnacentral:rRNA from 1 species